rnacentral:rRNA from 1 species
ACUCAAAUGAAUUGACGGGGACUCGCACAAGCGGUGGAUAAUGUGGCUUAAUUCGUCGGCAAGCGAAAAACCUUACCAAGAUUAGAAAUCCAACUGCAUACCACCCGAAAGGGAGGUAGCCUUCGAGGGUGUUGGACAGGUGAUGCAUGGUCGUCGUCAGUUCGUGGUUUGAACUGUUCCCUUCAGUGGGGUAACGAACGCAACCCCCGUUGCCUGUUAUAUUUGUCAGGCGAGACUGCUCCCUCACGGGAGAGGAAGGUGGGGAUGACGCCAGAUCAGCAUGUCCCUCUGAUAUCUUGGGCUGCACACGUUAUACAAUGGUCGGUACAAUAGGACGCAAUACCGUAAGGUGGAGCAAAUCCCUAAAACCGUCCUCAGUACAGAUUGAGGUCUGCAACCGACCUCAUGAAGCUGGAAUCGCUAGUAAUCCUGAAUCAGCAAAGUCAGGGUGAAUACGUUCUCGAGUCUUGUACACACCGCCCGU